UUUCCCGCGAUAUUGCGUAUCAUAGACGCUGUUGUUGAGAAUUAUAUUGAGAACUUCGAAGUAAUAUUAAGAAUUGCUUUUUACAUUUUUUUUUUUAAAUGUCAUCAGACAACGAGACGUGAUCGACCACUUUGUGAAGAAAGAACGCAGAAUGGAUUUUGUGUACAAGAAGUAUGCUGCAGUGACCCUCAGCAUCUAACGGAGGCAACGAUUAAUGAUCAAAGCCAGAAGCAUGCAAUCCAGAGACUGACGUCUUACCACGACUGCUGAAGGAACACUGUUCCAUUGUCUUGACCCGCCCUGCAGCCUCGGUGCAGAGACCCCUCCUUACGGAUCAGACUGACUCCGCUGGGGCCCGCUUGCCUGCUGCCCGCAGUAUUAACAAGAAGUGAACCUGGGUCUGCUUUGUUUGCCCCGGCGCUCAUCAGCCCCUUUCGCAGGGGAGCACAAAUCAGCACGCCGAAAUCUUGAGCACACGGAAUUCAGCAAUAAAACUAAGCAACGUGUUUAGCAGCAGCCCCUGAUUCUUAAUGGGACACUCUUUAAUGUCAUCUACAUUUCCAGCAGGGGUCUGCUGAUACUCGUAUUCAUCGGCAGGUAUUAAAUAAAUCCAUUCAUUAAUGUGUUGCACCGUUACAGCUGAGCAUCAAUCAAUGGCAAUUAACUUCUGCACUGAGUGUUUAAAAAGCCGAUUGGAAGCACAUUUUUCUCUCAUCCGGUACUAGGGCUUACAUAUGGAACCAUGGAAGGCUCUGCAAACAGUCUCUGAAUCAAACUGUGCGAUCUGUAUAUUGGAGGCAGGAUUAAGGAUGCUGACCAAUUGUGGUUAAACCCCAUUGCUGGAUGCCACUGAUUUUCAAGGUUUUCAGAUACAUUACAGCAGCUCUGUACUCACCGUAUUGGCAGCUGGGCCCGUCGAAGCCGGCUGGACAGUCACACAGCUGGGUCGAUCCUUCCACACACUGACCCCCAUUGAAGCAGACCCCUGAACUGCAGACAGCUGCACAGGAUGGAAGAGGAACACUCAGAGUGAGAUCAUAGGGUCAAACUACCCAGUGCUACCUGCUUGUGUGAUCAGAGUCCCCCAUGAUAGGAAGCAGGGUAGGGAAUUGAAAAUGAUGACACAGCUUUCCUCCAUUAACCAGUAGCAUAUAAAGCUACAUCCACAUGUCCGCUUUUGGAGCUGCCUCUUGGUUUAAUUAAUAUUUAGCUUCAUCCAACCGCUGCAUUAACACAGAAUAAAAUAAAUAACAAUCUAAAGUAAAAGGAGACAGAACUAUAUGUCUGACUUUGGAUCCAGAUAGUGACUGUACAGUCUGCCUAGUUUUACCCCUGGAGUUUGAAACAUACUAAUUUAUUUUCUUCUGAGCAGAGAUGCUGACAGCAAGCAAGGCUAAUCCAGAUUAAACACAUCACUAGACAUGAAAGAGACAUCCUAAUGGAUGGAGCAUGCUGCCUCACAGCCGCUGGGCUCACAUUACAUAUUGUUAUUAUUAUGAUUAUUAUUAAUAGGAGAAAGGCAGCAGGUAUGAUUAAUGUUAUAUGGAAAAAGAAGUGCUUCUAAAAAGAAACAAAAAAGAUAAUGUUACUGAACUAUUGAGAAACCACUUAUUUGAGCUUGUUAGUCCUUUCUCAACAUUCGGUUAAUAA